AUUGAACGCUGGCGGCAGGCUUAACACAUGCAAGUCGAGCGGGGGAAGGUAGCUUGCUACCGGACCUAGCGGCGGACGGGUGAGUAAUGCUUAGGAAUCUGCCUAUUAGUGGGGGACAACAUCUCGAAAGGGAUGCUAAUACCGCAUACGUCCUACGGGAGAAAGCAGGGGAUCUUCGGACCUUGCGCUAUAGAUGAGCCUAAGUCGGAUUAGCUAGUUGGUGGGGUAAAGGCCUACCAAGGCGACGAUCUGUAGCGGGUCUGAGAGGAUGAUCCGCCACACUGGGACGGAGACACGGCCCAGACUCCUACGGGAGGCAGCAGUUGGGAAUAUUGGACAAUGGGGGGAACCCUGAUCCAGCCAUGCCGCGUGUGUAAAGAAGGCCUUAUGGUUGUAAAGCACUUUAAGCGAGGAGGAGGCUACUUUAGUUAAUACCUAGAGAUAGUGGACGUUACUCGCAGAAUAAGCACCGGCUAACUCUGUGCCAGCCGCCGCUGUAA
rnacentral:rRNA from 1 species